AUAUUGCUGUUUAAUAUGAAGUAGCUAGUAUAUUUAGAAAACUAUAUAUUUCGAAAACGUGAUAUCUCAUAAAUUUGAUUUAACAUUGGAUAACAUUUGUGGACCACCAUGCAUCAUGCGUGCUGGUAAGUUGAUUCGACAAAUUUCUGACGUUUGUAAGUUGAUGGCUAAUAUUAAUUAGAUUAUGCAUUGGAACCACAUAGAUAUUUCAAAAACAAACAUAUUUAGGUUCGAUUCAUCACUAGUAAUAUAUUGUUUUGACCAAGGACUUUACUCAUGCCCUGAAGCGACAAUCUGUCUAUGGUGUUGCAUGUUUUUGAAACGAAAAUCUGUCUCACAAACCCUGUGGUUAAUAUCUCCUCUGGCUGAAGAAUAUGAAACCUUAGAUUGGAAAACCAUCUAUGAAUUUUUGUCUUUGAAGGUUUUAUCACUACCGCAUCUAUUAUCUCUAUCCGUGAAUAUACUGAGCUUAUCCCGGAGUGUCAAUUUAGACACAUCUCUGCCGGACGUUAUCUUCAUCGACUAUCCACUGAAGCAUCUUGACACCACUUCAAUCUAGCGGCCAAAACUAGGAGUUGUGAUUUCCCUGUUUUUGCUUAAGCUUUUUCGAACCAUAGCUAACUGUUCCCCGACACACAUCCAGCUAGCUUCCGAUCUAGAAUUUCAUUCUUACCUGACUUCAAGGGUCCUCGCCAUCCAAGCUUCCCCGUCAUGGAAAGAACCUUGGCUCUGGUUCCAUUUGUCGUUUGUGCCGGCGAAUAGUGAGACUAAGUACCUUUAGUAAUCGUCACAAAAUCUUUUGAUAGUGACUAGUUCUAAAAUACCUGAAUUGUUCGUGGAAGUCUCUUUGACACACCAAGAACUCGCUUGUGGCAUGUUGCUAGCUAGCUUCUGUCUCUGAGAUUUUAUCAUAAAAUUUUUAUGGGUCUAUCCUCAAUGCUUUUAACUUAUCCUAGCUAUCUUAUCUUUAUUGUAA
rnacentral:sRNA from 1 species